UACGGAGGGUGCAAGCGUUAUCCGGAUUCACUGGGUUUAAAGGGUGCGUAGGCGGGCAAGUAAGUCAGUGGUAAAAUCUCCGGGCUUAACUCGGAAACUGCCGUUGAUACUAUUUGUCUUGAAUAUCAUGGAGGUAAGCGGAAUAUGUCAUGUAGCGGUGAAAUGCUUAGAUAUGACAUAGAACACCGAUAGCGAAGGCAGCUUACUACAUGUUCAUUGACGCUGAGGCACGAAAGCGUGGGGAGCAAACAGG
rnacentral:rRNA from 1 species